ACAAAAGUCACACUUGAAAACGGGUGUGGUCCUCUCCAUAAAUGGAGAAAAUCUUAAUUCUGCAGGUUGAUUGGCUCUGCCUUGCCUUCUAUUGGCCAACGAUGAUGAGCCGUCUUUAGGUUCCAGAACUUUCUGCGAACUUUUUCACCAGCUAUCCAUCCUGUGUCAGAGAGACUCGCCAGAUAUUCCAGAUUCUUCACUGCACUUUGCAUCUUGGUUUCCUGUGAAAAAUAAAACAACUACUUCUGUUGUUUUAUUUUUCAGUGUUCUCCAUUUUUACAGGGAUAACGUUUCUUUUGUUUUAAUAAACUUAGCAUUUUGUAAUUUAUAUAUUCUUUUUUUGUUUUGUUUUUUUU